AUGGACAUCCUACAGCACUUCAGGCAAGCAUCAUGUCUUCAAAUUAACCCAUCAAAGUCUUCGGUGACGGCGAUUAGAGGAGACGACCUCAACCUCAGGGAAAUUAUGCAAAUUUUUGGCGGUUAGACUGUAGGUUUUCCGCUAAAGUACCUAGGGCUGCGAAUCACGCUAGCUAUGCAAUGCAUAGCCCACCUUCAUUUUAUCCUAGGUAGGAUCAAGGCGCGGCUCGCGGGUUGGAAGGGGCGACUGAUGUCCUUGGCAGGUUGGCGAGUGCUUGUGCGCUGCAUGCUGACGAUGCUUCCAACUUUUGCCAUCUCAGUCCUCAGGGCGCCCCGGAAGUUUUUAAAAGAGAUUGACAAGGCCAGCCACAAAUUCCUAUGGGCAGGAGAUCAAGAUAUCAAGGGUUGGCAUUGCAAGGUGAACUGGUCGAGCGUAUGCGCUCCAACCCAAUAG
rnacentral:rRNA from 1 species